UCCUUUAAGACUUUAAAACUUUUUACAACUCCUCUACCGAGGCUCCAAAACUUUUAAAUCUCCUCCACCAAUGCGUCAAAUUUAAAAAUGAAAUAAAAAACUCAACCAUCAAGGCUUUAAACUUUAAAAGAAAAUGAGAAUCCUUCCACCGGAUCUUUAAAACUUUUUACAACUCUUCCACCAAGACUCCAAAACUUUUUAAUCUUUUCCAUCGAGGCUCUAAAUUCCUUCACCAAGGUUUCAAUAUCUUAAGAAUUCUUUCAUUGAGGUUUCAAUAUCUUAAGACUUCCUCCAUCAAGGUUCCAAUAUCUUAAGAAUUUUUCUGCCAAGAUUCCAAUAUCUUAAGAAUUCCUCCACCAAGCCUUCAAAUUCCUCCAUCGAGGCUUCAAUAUCAUAUGAAUUCCUCAACCGAGGCUUCAAUAUCUUAAGAAUUCCUCCACUCAGGCUCUAAUAUCUUAAAAAUUUCUCUACUAAGUUUCCAAAAUCUUAAGAAUUCUUCCACUGAGGUUCCAAUAUCUUAAAAAUUCCUGCACUAAGGUUCCAAACUUUAGAUAAAGCUCCUCCACCAAGGCUUCAAAUCUUAAAAAAGGAAAUAUCAUUUCCUAAAUGUGUUAGUUCAAGAAGCUUAAGAUAAAGAAACCAAGAAAAGAGUGAAUUGGUAAUUUAAAAAAAUUGAUUUUUCUUGAAAACAGAAGUAAAGAUGAAAACUUUGAAAGCACAACUUAAAAACCCAAGUAUGAAAGCUUAAAAGCUGAAGAAUAAAGCAAGUAAUGAGUAUAAAAGAGAAGAGAAAAACUCAAUCAUGAUUUUAUAGAGGUUGGAUCCUUAAAGCUUACGUCUUUUCCCUUAAUAGUACAAGAAGUUUGAAUUCGUUAUCAACUGCCCUUUUCAACCAGAUUCAAGCAUAACCUUUACAAGUAACUACUUUUUAAGGAUUAAUCACUAUAAUAUCUCGUACUUUGAUAUGGUGACUAAUAAAGCUUAUUGGAUGUCAAUUGAGGUUAAUUAUAAUGUUUAAAAGUGAUGAAAGAUGAAAGAAACAAUUGGGAUAAAAAAUUUCGCACGCGAGAAAAUAAUAAUAAAAUAAUAAUAUUUUAUCGAGAAAAAAUUUAUGAGAUAAAAAGUGAUUCGAAAGUGAAUUGAGGCAUAAUAAGGUAUUUUGGAUACCAAGGAGACGAGAAAAUUUUUGGAAUAAAAAAAUAUUUUAUGAAUAAAAUAAUACUAAAAUAUUAAUAUUUUAUUCAGUGUCAAAAUUUUCCAUGAAUGAGGAGUAUAUGAUCAGUCUAAGUGGGGGAGAAAAAGAAUGAGAAAAUUUUGGAGAAAAAAAUGAUGUUAAUGGGGCCGCGUGUCUUUAUUAAGUAAAGAUAGCGUGGGUAAAUAAAUAUUUUAAAUAUUACGGGGACAUCGCGUUGGAGUACAAACUUCAUACUUUGUUUGUACAUGUGUAGAAGAAGAUAAUAAAAGGAAGUUGGAGUAAAAUGAGUGUUGGGAGGACUAAAUUAAAAUGGAAAGAAACAAAAAGGGCAAAACGAUAAUUUUAUGUGAAAUUUGGUCAAAGCUUCCAAAGGAAGCUUUGACCCUGAUUUUUUUCAGCCCAAAACCGUUCUUAUCUCCUUCAGCAAGAUAUUUCUUCUUAAUUCUUGAAGCUUCCAACGCCAUUCUCUCAUUCUCCCAUGGAAAGUUAAUUUUCUUUCAUUUUCUUUCCAUUUCCUUUAUCUUCUUGCUUCUUUCUUCUCCCAACUUCUUAUGCACCAAAGUUACAACUUCUUAUGCACCAAAGUUACAACUUCUAAGCCCAAUUUCCAGCACAUACAAACCCUAGGAGAAGAAGAAAGAAGGAGAGAAAGGAAGAAAAAGCUUGGUUUUGGUGAUUCAAGUAAGGAACGAUAAGAAUUCUUGUUUUUGGCUUGAGUAGUUUUUGAAAAUGAGUUAGUGACUUAGAGAAAUGUCUUGUGGCAGCAAAGAUUGGCUUGAUUGGAGAAAAAUUGGUAACAUGUAAGCCAAUAAACCCAUGGGUACAUGAAUGACUCAAAAUGGAAAAGGAAAACAGUAAGCUUAACACUAUGUUUUAAAGCCUAUGGUUAGUUGAAUAUUGUGAGGCAUUAUGGUUGUUGAAAGGAUUUAUUUGCCUAAGCUAGUUGAAAAUUAUUAAGAUUGUUUGACAUGUUGUUUGAAAGAAAUGAAAAAGGAAUAUUGUGGAUGGAGGAUUGAGAAACAAAGUAUUGAAAGUAAGAUAGAUAACGAUGUAUGUAAACUAGGAAAUAAUUGAGUGAAAGUAAGAAUGAUUGUGUCACGACCCGGUACUCCCCUCGAGCCCGUGACAACCGUCGCGGUACCCCGAUGAUACUCAUUUCCCGAAAUGCCAACACAAUAACAAUAUGACAUAAGCCAUUAAUUUAAACAAUCAAAUUGCCACAAUUAACAGUCUCAGUGUACUCUAUUUUUCAAAAUCAUUAUUAAUUUCAAAACAAUUUAUAAAUUAAUUUCAUUGGAACACCUUUAUUCAUAAAACAUGAAAAUUUACCUUUUUAAAUCCAUUUUUCCAUAGAAUUCAUGAAUCAUCUAAAAACCACCCUAGAUAAUUAAAAUGACAGUAAGUUUACUCACAAUGUCUAGAAUGCAGACUUUCGAAGUACUCUGUCUACUAGUCCUCGGAUGCAAUUUCCUUGCCUUUAUCGAAGGACUCACCACCUUGACACAGUACAAAAUCAGAAAAUUCACCACAUUGAUACUAAAUUGAAAUUAAACUAAUUUAGACUACUAAUACAUGAUAUGGAAUGCAAAAAUGUCCGAAUAGCCGUUUAAAUACGGUAUUCAACCUAAUUCACACUAUUCUCGGUGUAUUUGGCUAAAACCUCCAAUUUAACUCCAAAUCGAUUUCUUUCACUUUCUACACUCCAAUUAUACUUAAAAUACCUCAAUGACUGUGAAUAUAAUUCAAUUUAUCAGUCCGAACCAUAAAUCGCACAUGUCUAUAUAUUAGGUAAAAAUUCAGAUUUUCAUACCAAAAUUUUCCAUUAAAUUUCUAGCCUCACCAAUCAUUAAACAUCACCAAAAUAUCAUGAAAUAUCAUCAAUUUCAGGCUCAAUGUCCUCCCUAGAAAAUUCGGCCUCUUGUGAGUUUGUGAAGAACAAAGUGAUUUAUUGCUAGAUUUUCAUACUUUCCAUUACUAAACAACCAAAAAACACUUAAUGAACUUGAAAUCUAGCAAAAUCAAUGGUCAAAACCUCUCCUCUCAAAUUUGGCCAGCAUGGGUUCAUCAUGAAAACUUGAGUUCUAAGCAUGGAAAAUGAAAAAGAAAGCAUGGGUAGUGUAAAUCACAAGAUAAAAUCACAAAAAUUUACCUUUAUUAGCUUAAUCCCUUGAAAUCUCACACUUUUUCUUCAAUUUCCCACAUAGGUUUUGUUCUUUCUUUGUUCUUCUUCACUUCAUGCUUU
rnacentral:lncRNA from 1 species